rnacentral:rRNA from 1 species
UACGUAGGGGGCUAGCGUUGUCCGGAAUCAUUGGGCGUAAAGAGCGUGUAGGCGGCUCGGUAAGUCCGCUGUAAAAGUCAAAGGCUCAACCUUUGAAUGUCAGUGGAUACUGCCGGGCUAGAGUCCGGAAGAGGAGUGUGGAAUUCCUGGUGUAGCGGUGAAAUGCGCAGAUAUCAGGAGGAACACCAAUGGCGAAGGCAGCACUCUGGGACGUGACUGACGCUGAGACGCGAAAGCGUGGGGAGCAAACAGG